AACCUAGCGGCGGACGGGUGAGUAAUGCUUAGGAAUCUGCCUAUUAGUGGGGGACAACAUUCCGAAAGGAAUGCUAAUACCGCAUACGUCCUACGGGAGAAAGCAGGGGACCUUCGGGCCUUGCGCUAAUAGAUGAGCCUAAGUCGGAUUAGCUAGUUGGUGGGGUAAAGGCCUACCAAGGCGACGAUCUGUAGCGGGUCUGAGAGGAUGAUCCGCCACACUGGGACUGAGACACGGCCCAGACUCCUACGGGAGGCAGCAGUGGGGAAUAUUGGACAAUGGGGGGAACCCUGAUCCAGCCAUGCCGCGUGUGUGAAGAAGGCCUUUUGGUUGUAAAGCACUUUAAGCGAGGAGGAGGCUACUAGUAUUAAUACUACUGGAUAGUGGACGUUACUCGCAGAAUAAGCACCGGCUAACUCUGUGCCAGCAGCCGCGGUAAUACAGAGGGUGCGAGCGUUAAUCGGAUUUACUGGGCGUAAAGCGUGCGUAGGCGGCUGAUUAAGUCGGAUGUGAAAUCCCUGAGCUUAACUUAGGAAUUGCAUUCGAUACUGGUCAGCUAGAGUAUGGGAGAGGAUGGUAGAAUUCCAGGUGUAGCGGUGAAAUGCGUAGAGAUCUGGAGGAAUACCGAUGGCGAAGGCAGCCAUCUGGCCUAAUACUGACGCUGAGGUACGAAAGCAUGGGGA
rnacentral:rRNA from 1 species